CAAUAGCGUAUAUUAAAGUUGUUGCAGUUAAAAAGCUCGUAGUUGAAUUUCUGGUGGGCGCGCCGGUCUUCCAAGUGUUGUACUGGGCGCAGUCCGCCAUCCUUGUGGAGAGGGCUCGCAUUGAGUUGCGUGUCGGAUCUGCAUCAUUUACUGUGAAAAAAUUAGAGUGUUUAAAGCAGGCUGUCGCUUGAAUACAUUAGCAUGGAAUAAUAAGAUAGGACUUCGGCCUAUUUUGUUGGUUGCGAACCGAGGUAAUGAUUAAUAGGGAUAGUUGGGGGUAUUCAUAUUUAAUUGUCAGAGGUGAAAUUCUUGGAUUUAUGAAAGAUGAACAACUGCGAAAGCAUUUACCAAGGAUGUUUUCAUUAA
rnacentral:rRNA from 1 species